UACGAUAAAACAGGCACAUUGCUUCACCACAUCGGUCAAGCAAGCUCGGUACCUGUGAGGAGUCAGACAUGAAAACUGCAGUUUUUCUAACGUUGGCCUUUAUUUCUGUAACUUCGGGUCAGGAUGGCAAUACAACAGCUGGAGUCGUAUCGGAGGCAACGAGAACUGCAAACACCAGAGUGACAA
rnacentral:lncRNA from 1 species